GCCUGGGUGGCUUAGUUGGAUAAGCAUAUGACUUCAGCUCAGGUCAUGAUCUCACGGUUCGUGGGUUCGAGCCCCAUGUCGGGCU
rnacentral:tRNA from 1 species